GUAAAUAUUAAAAAGAAAACAAAAAAUUAUGGCGGUACUUUAAGCUUGUUAGAGGAAUUUGCUCUUUAAUGGAUAAAACGCCUCAAUCUUACUAAAACUAGUGAAAUCAGUUUGUAUACCACUAUACAAGUAAUUAUUUAUUUUAAUUACUUCAAUUUUUAAAAAAGAGAAAGUUAAGUCAAGGUGCAAAUAAGUUUUAGAAUGAAGUGAAUUACAAUUCUUUUAAGAAUUAUUUGAAUUAAAAAAAUUUUUAGGAUUUAAAAGUAAAAAUUUAAUAGUAUGACAUUUUGAACAAAGUUCUAAAGUAUGUAC
rnacentral:rRNA from 1 species